AGUGUUGAUGGUGAAACUGAAGGAGGGGCAGUGAAUGUAGAGAAUGAAAUGGAGGAAAUUCAGCACUAUCACAACACUAUAUAUAUAUAUGUAUUCACUACUGUGUGAUGCAUUGCAAGGAUUUAUACUGAUCAACCAGUUAUCUAUGCUCAAAUGAUCAACCAGUUGUCUAUUAUUUUACUCUGCCUAACACCAGAUUAUUUUACUGUUUAACACUAGACUCAUUACUCAUCAGGGGGAGAGUGCUACCACUCAAUGGGUUAAAAAAACAUUCAAACAAAAUGUUUGGCAGAAGAUGCAAAAUUGUUUAUUGGUGUCUGGUG